CUCUCACUCUCACACUCACUCACUCACUCUCUCACACACUCUCACUCACUCUCUCUCACUCACUCAAUGGUGUCUUCUGAUUGUAUUUUCCGCAGCUGAGAUACUGUAUUUGAGACUUAAGAAGGGAAGGGAAAGGCAGGCAAAAUCCAAGAAUGUCAUCGGAGCAUGAAAGCAAGUGGAAGUGAAUAAUACAUCUCUGCAACCCCACAAAACAUUAAGGACCAUAUGCAAUAUAUUCUCUCAAGAUCUUCUUAUCUGCUUAUAAGAUGGCCAGAAGAUUGCCCAACAUCUCUUAAAGAAGCUAAAGGCAAACAACACUCAACUUCAGAUUGUUAGUAAUUUGCUGAAAGAUCAGGGUUCCAAUGUUUCUAUGGCCCAGCUUUCAGAUAUCAACUGUAGGACCAGUGCCAGUGUUAAAUUUUGUGUUUCCAUUGUUGUACUGGUGAUAUUACUUUGUUAUAUAUCAAUGUGAAUGACAGUGCCUUCAGCCACUGAUUUUGUUUGUAUACCUGUACUUCACCUGCAAAUAAGAAACUUUGAAUUUCUUGUAAUGUUACGUGAAUCGUGAGAUGAAGGGGGAAGGUUUUAAAACUGUGCAAAUAAAUUAAAUGAGUUUCAGUUGCAAACUA